UACGUAGGGUGCAAGCGUUAAUCGGAAUUACUGGGCGUAAAGCGUGCGCAGGUGGUUAUGUAAGAUAGAUGUGAAAUCCCCGGGCUUAACCUGGGAAUUGCAUUUAUGACUGCAUGGCUAGAGUGUGGCAGAGGGGGAUGGAAUUCCGCGUGUAGCAGUGAAAUGCGUAGAUAUGCGGAGGAACACCGAUGGCGAAGGCAAUCCCCUGGGCCUGCACUGACGCUCAUGCACGAAAGCGUGGGGAGCAAACAGG
rnacentral:rRNA from 1 species